rnacentral:rRNA from 2 species
UGGGGAAUUUUGGACAAUGGGCGAAAGCCUGAUCCAGCCAUGCCGCGUGAGUGAAGAAGGCCUUCGGGUUGUAAAGCUCUUUUAGUCGGAAAGAAAGAGUUGCAAUGAACAAUUGUGAUUUAUGACGGUACCGACAGAAAAAGCACCGGCUAACUACGUGCCAGCAGCCGCGGUAAUACGUAGGGUGCGAGCGUUAAUCGGAAUUACUGGGCGUAAAGGGUGCGCAGGCGGUCUUGCAAGUCAGAUGUGAAAGCCCCGGGCUUAACCUGGGAAUUGCGUUUGAAACUACAAGACUAGAGUGCAGCAGAGGGGAGUGGAAUUCCAUGUGUAGCAGUGAAAUGCGUAGAGAUGUGGAAGAACACCGAUGGCGAAGGCAGCUCCCUGGGUUGACACUGACGCUCAUGCACGAAAGCGUGGGGAGCAAACA